rnacentral:lncRNA from 1 species
AAUUUUCAAAGACCUACACAGCAAAUUCAAAAGUGUUAAUUUUCCAGUGUUGGUGUUAAACGUUAAGAAUACAGUGUUAAUUCAACACUUGCUUAGUUCAAUUCAACUAUGUAAGAGUUAAUCCCUCAAAAGAGUUGGUGUUAAUCCGGGGAGUUAAAUCCAAAGAACUCUGUUGAGUGUUGAUCUUAAAAUCAACACUUAACAGAGUUUCUCCAACGGAUCUGUGACGUGUUUUUCCUAAAAGCGGGACAACUCCCAGUCUGAGAAGGAGUCUGAGCGGGGCAGGAGCAGAUCAGCAAAUGGUAGGUGAGUUUCUUUUUGCUGCCUUCAGGACUUCACCAAGUAUCUCUAUGUAAGUAAAUGAAGGGCAGCAUGCCAUUUGAUAAUAUCUUAUAUUCUAUGCAGUAAUGUUAAGUUUUAUGUGUUGAUAUUAAAUCUUGCUGAGUCGUCUCUGUAACAUGAGCUGACAUCAUGAUAGGCUCAGUCCAAUGUUAAGGUUAGCGUGGUUGUUGUCGCCUAAUGCUGUAUUUUAAAGUGUGCAUUAAUGUUUAUUUUGUACAUGAGAUAUGGGUGUUGAUAAUUAUACACAAUUUGCUAAUCGUUAGUAACGUUAUAGGCUACACGGUUAUAUUUCAAGCUAGCAAAGUAACGUUAGCACGUGCGCAAGGACUCGAGUUAGGUGUAUAGCUAAGCUAAAGUUUAUUCUUCGUGAGUGACAGUGUCGGCUAACGAUACACGGCAAAAUGUAAAGCGAUGGGGUAGAGAGCUGGGGCUGGACCGAGUGGUUGAGCUCCCGUUUGUCUAUGGAAAACGUUAGCUGCUAAAAGUCGGAGUGGCUCCGGGUAGUAACGUUAGCCUAAAGUUAAUUUAUGUUGCUGCUAGAGGAAUACAGGUGUAGACUUUCCGGGCCGCGACACCGAUCUCUUCACUAAACCCUAGAGCUUUUUACGAGCAGGAGUAGUUUACUUUGAUUUAUCUCUAGCUGUUGGCAUUUUUUUCUUUUCUUUUUAAAUGUUUAAUCUUAAUUUUAUUUUCUCAAUCUAUCAUUAGCCGCAGCUGUUACCGGAGUCGCACACCCCUCAGCUGCUGAUGCCUGAAAUGUGUGAGUUUUUAUAACGCUAACUGCAUAUGAACGUUAGCGUCAUUGUCAUGUUAUGCAUUCAGUAGAUGAUAUUUUGCCAAACGUACAAAGAAGAAUUGCUCACGUAUUUGUGUGUAUGGACAAGUGUGGGUGUUGUUAGCAUUAAGUUAGCCAUCAUGGUAGCAGGCAGGGUUAGCUUAGUGAUAUCGUGCUGGCUGCCGUUGUCCAGGUUGGCGUGACUUGCGAGGAAUUUUAUGGGAGACAAAAAAAAAAACCCAGAACAAUUACAACGAUCAAAAUCCGGCGAGUAAUCCGAGGCAAAAUGUCCCUGUGUCUUUACUCAUUCACAGUGAACAUACUGUAAAUGAUGAUGUAUUCUUUUUCUUUUUCUUCAUAGUACAUCAUGUUGGUGAAGGUGAGAUUCAGAGAAACGCAGACGUUAUGUCAAAGUGGCUGAGACUGAAGAUGGCUAUGAUGACUUCAAUACAUUUCUUCAGAAAGGUUAACAAUACAACCAAGAAUAUUUGUGCAAACUGACUAAUUGCUGUAAUACUUGCUGUAUUUAUCUAGUAUUCAAAUAUCUUAUAUUAUGGAGUUGUGUUUAUGAUAGCUAAUGGUAAUACCCUAUGAAGAGUAAAAAAAGUACUGUUAUAAAGUUGACCAAAAAUUUUGAAAAAACAAGUUAAGCACAUUUCUGGUAAUGUUCUUAUUGUAUUUUUUUAACCAUUGCUAGAUCUUCCACUUGAGACUGAGCUGCACUUGACAGAUGAAUCAGGGACAGAAGUCGAUGCAGAUGUGUUUGAGGAGCUUUUGCAAGCAGGGAACCUUACUGUUAGGGUGUCAACUGAGAAGUCAACAGGUGAGACUCAGACUUGUAAGGAGUGGAUUGUCAAUAAUGAGAAUUGUUGAGAACUAAUUAUUUUUUUCCUUUUGUGUAUACAUUUCUAAAUCUGUUUACAGUUGUGCUUCAAGAGGAUCUUUCAAACACUUUGUCGGAGUCACCCUUCUCAGACACAUCUUCGUCAGUGUCCAAAGACUCCCUGCUUGUGUCGUCUGAUUCAUCAGAUGCAACAGUAAUUGUUCAUACAAAUGGAGGGAAGAGAACCCAUGCUGAAAGGGAAUCUACAAAAGAG